rnacentral:misc_RNA from 1 species
GCGAGUAUGGCCCUCACGGGUCUAAUCCACCACAAACACCUUUGUGAACCAGUCAGGGGGACUCGGCCGUGAAAAGCCCAGGCGAUUAGCGGAAGGGCCCUCCUUUGCAAACCCGUUUUAGAAGUCUUGAAAGUACUUUUGUAUAAUCUAGUAA